rnacentral:rRNA from 1 species
UACGUAGGAGGCGAGCGUUGUCCGGAAUUACUGGGUGUAAAGCGCGUGUAGGCGGCCUGCCAAGUCUGCUGUGAAAGCGCCUGGCUUAACCGGGCGAGGUCGGUGGAAACUGGCGGGCUGGAGGCCGGUAGAGGGGGGUGGAAUUCCCGGGGUAGUGGUGAAAUGCGUAGAGAUCGGGAGGAACACCAGUGGCGAAGGCGGCCCCCUGGGCCGGGCCUGACGCUGAGACGCGAAAGCGCGGGGAGCGAACGGG